CCUACGGGUGGCAGCAGUGGGGAAUAUUGCACAAUGGGGGAAACGCUGAUGCAGCAACGCCGCGUGAAGGAAGACGGUUUUCGGAUUUGUAACUUCUGUUCUUAGUGAAGAAUAAUUACGGUAGCUAAGGAGCAAGCCACGGCUAACUACGUGCCCGCAGCCGCGGUAAUACGUAGGUGGCAAGCGUUGUCCGGAGUUACUGGGUGUAAAGGGAGCGCAGGCGGGAAGCCAAGUCAGCUGUGAAAACUACGGGCUUAACUUGUAGAUUGCAGUUGAAACUGGUUUUCUUGAGUGAAGUAGAGGUAGGCGGAAUGCGGGGUGUAGCGGUGAAAUGCGUAGAUAUUCGGAGGAACACCGGUGGCGAAGGUGGCCAACUGGGCUUUAACUGACGCUGAGGCUCGAAAGUGUGGGGAGCAAACAGGAUUAGAUACCCGAGUAGUC
rnacentral:rRNA from 1 species